GAUGAACGCUAGCGAUAGGCUUAACACAUGCAAGUCGAGGGGCAGCAUGGUCUUAGCUUGCUAAGACUGAUGGCGACCGGCGCACGGGUGCGUAACGCGUAUGCAACUUGCCUCACAGAGGGGGAUAACCCGUCGAAAGACGGACUAAUACCGCGUACACUUGGGAUAGGGCAUCCUGACCCAAGGAAAUGAAAUUCGCUGUGAGAUAGGCAUGCGUCCCAUUAGCUAGUUGGUGAGGUAACGGCUCACCAAGGCGACGAUGGGUAGGGGAACUGAGAGGUUGAACCCCCACACUGGUACUGAGACACGGACCAGACUCCUACGGGAGGCAGCAGUGAGGAAUAUUGGUCAAUGGGCGAGAGCCUGAACCAGCCAAGUCGCGUGAAGGACGACUGUCUUAUGGAUUGUAAACUUCUUUUAUACGGGAAUAACAAGAGCCACGUGUGGCUCCCUGCAUGUACCGUAUGAAUAAGCAUCGGCUAACUCCGUG
rnacentral:rRNA from 1 species